UGGGGAAUAUUGGACAAUGGGCGAAAGCCUGAUCCAGCCAUGCCGCAUGAGUGAAGAAGGCCUUUGGGUUGUAAAGCUCUUUUAGUGAGGAAGAUAAUGACGGUACUCACAGAAGAAGUCCUGGCUAACUCCGUGCCAGCAGCCGCGGUAAUACGGAGAGGGCUAGCGUUAUUCGGAAUUAUUGGGCGUAAAGGGCGCGUAGGCUGGUUAAUAAGUUAAAAGUGAAAUCCCGAGGCUUAACCGUGGAAUUGCUUUUAAAACUAUUAAUCUAGAGAUUGAAAGAGGAUAGAGGAAUUCCUGAUGUAGAGGUAAAAUUCGUAAAUAUUAGGAGGAACACCAGUGGCGAAGGCGUCUAUCUGGUUCAAAUCUGACGCUGAAGCGCGAAGGCGUGGGGAGCAAACA
rnacentral:rRNA from 1 species